GUGAGCCGCAUGCAGGGAGACCCGCACGUACGGUUUUCAGGGGGAUCCGGGCGGCUAGCGCCCACCCGAC
rfam:Oryza brachyantha chromosome 2, whole genome shotgun sequence.